GUGCAAGACUUUGCGCUCUUUAGUGGGGUCUGUGGCGACAGGACAAGGGGAAAUGGCUUCAAGCUCAAAGAGGGUAGAUUUAGGACACAUGGCCCUCAGAACCCCAGCGCUUGGCUCCUGGCAGGGCAGAAGACAUUGUGACAUGGCGGCACAGCAGCAGCAGGAUGUCCCCUUGGAGCUCAUCCCCAGCUUGUUCUACACGAGGGCUUCCUGCCGUUGCCUGCCUGCACAUGGAGCACGAAUCUGAAUGCAGCUCAUCUCAUGCACAGACACCUGAAGCCCUCAGCGCAGCUGGCAGCAGUGCGGUAUGGACACGCCAAGUUUGCACAGUGGUGUUGGCAGCUGCAGCACAUCCACCUUCACGUUGGCACCGUGACACGGUUUCUCGAGCUGAGGACAGCCCACCUGCAUCCCUCCUGCACCCCACCACCACAGUGCUGCACAUCGGAGCUGCUCCAUGCGCCCAGCCCUGGCUCUCCUUUGCUCAGAGAACGCUCACAGUCAUAAAGAAAAAGCUUUUAUAAUCAGCAGAUGUGAUUCGCCGCCAGAUAAUGCUUUUAGUUGUGAGGUUGCUCUGGUGUUUUGUUCACUCUCU
rnacentral:lncRNA from 1 species